AUUGAACGCUGGCGGCAGGCCUAACACAUGCAAGUCGAGCGAGCGGCGGACGGGUGAGUAAUGUAUGGGGACUGCCCGAUAGAGGGGGAUAACUACUGGAAACGGUAGCUCAUCCUGCAUACUAUCGGAUAACCCAUAUGGGAUUAGCUAGUUGGUGAGGUAAUGGCUCACCUAGGCGACGAUCCCUAGCCGGUCUGAGAGGAUGAUCAGCCACACGGGAACUGAGACACGGCCCAGACGCCUACGGAGGCAGCAGUGGGGAAUAUUGCACAAUGGGCGAAAGCCUGAUCCAGCCAUGCCGCGUGUAUGAAGAAGGCCCUAGGGUUGUAAAGUACUUUCAGUUGGGAGGCGUUACCGACAGAAGAAGCACCGGCUAACUCCGUGCCAGCAGCCGCGGUAAUAC
rnacentral:rRNA from 1 species